UACGUAGGGUGCAAGCGUUAAUCGGAAUUACUGGGCGUAAAGCGUGCGCAGGCGGUUUUGUAAGUCUGAUGUGAAAGCCCCGGGCUCAACCUGGGAAUUGCAUUGGAGACUGCAAGGCUUGAAUCUGGCAGAGGGGGGUAGAAUUCCACGUGUAGCAGUGAAAUGCGUAGAGAUGUGGAGGAACACCGAUGGCGAAGGCAGCCCCCUGGGUCAAGAUUGACGCUCAUGCACGAAAGCGUGGGGAGCAAACAGGAUUAGAUACCCUGGUAGUCCACGCCCUAAACGAUGUCUACUAGUUGUCGGGUUUUAAUUAACUUGGUAACGCAGCUAACGCGUGAAGUAGACCGCCUGGGGAGUACGGUCGCAAGAUUA
rnacentral:rRNA from 1 species